rnacentral:rRNA from 1 species
GCGUUAUUCGGCAUUAUUGGGCGUAAAGGGCGCGUAGGCGGCUUGGCAAGUGGAAGGUGAAAUCCCUCGGCUCAACUGAGGAACUGCCUUCCAGACUGCUUUGCUUGAGUCCGGGAGAGGUGAGUGGAAUUCCCAGUGUAGCGGUGAAAUGCGUAGAUAUUGGGAGGAACACCAGUGGCGAAGGCGGCUCACUGGACCGGAACUGACGCUGAGGCGCGAAAGCGUG